GAUCACUAGUAGAUGAACUAGACACAAGUGAAGAUCCGUUCACUUUUGUAACUGAUGUUCCGCAUGACCAAGUAAUUGGAACUCAUAGUAUUGUUGUUACACAGACUUUUGGGAAUACACAGCCAUCAUGUCCUGUUGAAGGAGAUUUUAUAUACUUGUCGUAGUUGUGAUGCAUACAGAUGGUUUUGACUAGAAGACAAACACCCGUUGACGAGAGCUUCUUCACUGCCUCUAGAUGACGUGAAAACGAAUUCAUGCUUUUACUUUGUUUGAAGAAAACUUUGGUUUACAUUUUGCUGAUGUUGGUGUAUACCUUUUGACUGAGAAAAUGUUGAGAAUCUGCUUCUCUUUGUAUUUCUUAGUUCUU